GUGCCAGCCGCCGCGGUAAUACCGGCAGCCCGAGUGAUGGCCGAUCUUAUUGGGCCUAAAGCGUCCGUAGCUGGGUCUGAAAGUCCAUCGGGAAAUCCACUCGCUCAACGAGUGGUCGUCCGGUGGAAACUCCACACCUUGGGACCGGAAGGCUCGAAGGGUACGGCCGGGGUAGGAGUGAAAUCCUGUAAUCCCGUCCGGACCACCGAUGGCGAAAGCACUUCGAGAAAACGGAUCCGACAGUGAGGGACGAAAGCUAAGAUCGCGAACCGGAUUAGAUACCCGUGUAGUCC
rnacentral:rRNA from 1 species